AGAGGGUGCGAGCKUUAAUCGGAAUUACUGGGCGUAAAGGGCGCGUAGGCGGAUAAAUGGGUGUGAUGUGAAAGCCCCSGGCUUAACCUGGGAAGCGCAUCGCAAACUGUUAAUCUGGAAUAGAUGAGAGGGUGGCGGAAUUUCCGGUGUAGCGGUGAAAUGCGUAGAGAUCGGAAGGAACGUCGAUGGCGAAGGCAGCCACCUGGCAUCAUACUGACGCUGAGGCGCGAAAGCGUGGGGAGCGAACAGGAUUAGAUACCCUGGUAGUCCMCGCUGUAAACGAUGAGGACUAAAUGUUGGUGGGGGAACCCMUCAGUAYYGAMGCUAACGCGAUAAGUCUUCCGCCUGGGAAGUACGGCCGCAAGGUUG
rnacentral:rRNA from 1 species